rnacentral:rRNA from 1 species
ACGGAGGGUGCGAGCGUUGUCCGGAAUCACUGGGCGUAAAGGGCGCGUAGGUGGCACGGUAAGCGUGUGGUGAAAGCUCGGGGCUCAACCCCGAGUCGGCCAUGCGAACUGCUGCGCUUGAGCACUGUAGAGGCAGACGGAAUUCCGGGUGUAGCGGUGGAAUGCGUAGAGAUCCGGAAGAACACCGGUGGCGAAGGCAGCCCCCUGGGUCAAAACUGACGCUCAUGCACGAAAGCGUGGGGAGCAAACAGGA